rnacentral:rRNA from 2 species
GUUGUUGGGUAGGGGAGCGUUCUGUAAGCCUGCGAAGGUGGCCUGUGAGGGUUGCUGGAGGUAUCAGAAGUGCGAAUGCUGACAUAAGUAACGAUAAAGCGGGUGAAAAGCCCGCUCGCCGGAAGACCAAGGGUUCCUGUCCAACGUUAAUCGGGGCAGGGUGAGUCGACCCCUAAGGCGAGGCCGAAAGGCGUAGUCGAUGGGAAACGGGUUAAUAUUCCCGUACUUGGUGUUACUGCGAAGGGGGGACGGAGAAGGCUAUGUUGGCCGGGCGACGGUUGUCCCGGUUUAAGCGUGUAGGUGUGUGUUCCAGGUAAAUCCGGUUCACUUUAACACUGAGGCGUGAUGACGAGGCACUACGGUGCUGAAGCAACAAAUGCCCUGCUUCCAGGAAAAGCCUCUAAGCAUCAGGUAACAUCAAAUCGUACCCCAAACCGACACAGGUGGUCAGGUAGAGAAUACCAAGGCGCUUGAGAGAACUCGGGUGAAGGAACUAGGCAAAAUGGUGCCGUAACUUCGGGAGAAGGCACGCUGACACGUAGGUGAAGUGAUUUACUCAUGGAGCUGAAGUCAGUCGAAGAUACCAGCUGGCUGCAACUGUUUAUUAAAAACACAGCACUGUGCAAACACGAAAGUGGACGUAUACGGUGUGACGCCUGCCCGGUGCCGGAAGGUUAAUUGAUGGGGUCAGCGCAAGCGAAGCUCCUGAUCGAAGCCCCGGUAAACGGCGGCCGUAACUAUAACGGUCCUAAGGUAGCGAAAUUCCUUGUCGGGUAAGUUCCGACCUGCACGAAUGGCGUAAUGAUGGCCAGGCUGUCUCCACCCGAGACUCAGUGAAAUUGAACUCGCUGUGAAGAUGCAGUGUACCCGCGGCAAGACGGAAAGACCCCGUGAACCUUUACUAUAGCUUGACACUGAACAUUGAGCCUUGAUGUGUAGGAUAGGUGGGAGGCUUUGAAGUGUGGACGCCAGUCUGCAUGGAGCCGACCUUGAAAUACCACCCUUUAAUGUUUGAUGUUCUAACGUGGACCCGUGAUCCGGGUUGCGGACAGUGUCUGGUGGGUAGUUUGACUGGGGCGGUCUCCUCCUAAAGAGUAACGGAGGAGCACGAAGGUUGGCUAAUCCUGGUCGGACAUCAGGAGGUUAGUGCAAUGGCAUAAGCCAGCUUGACUGCGAGCGUGACGGCGCGAGCAGGUGCGAAAGCAGGUCAUAGUGAUCCGGUGGUUCUGAAUGGAAGGGCCAUCGCUCAACGGAUAAAAGGUACUCCGGGGAUAACAGGCUGAUACCGCCCAAGAGUUCAUAUCGACGGCGGUGUUUGGCACCUCGAUGUCGGCUCAUCACAUCCUGGGGCUGAAGUAGGUCCCAAGGGUAUGGCUGUUCGCCAUUUAAAGUGGUACGCGAGCUGGGUUUAGAACGUCGUGAGACAGUUCGGUCCCUAUCUGCCGUGGGCGCUGGAGAACUGAGGGGGGCUGCUCCUAGUACGAGAGGACCGGAGUGGACGCAUCACUGGUGUUCGGGUUGUCAUGCCAAUGGCACUGCCCGGUAGCUAAAUGCGGAAGAGAUAAGUGCUGAAAGCAUCUAAGCACGAAACUUGCCCCGAGAUGAGUUCUCCCUGAGACUUUAGGUCUCCUGAAGGAACGUUGAAGACGACGACGUUGAUAGGCCGGGUGUGUAAGCGCAGCGAUGCGUUGAGCUAACCGGUACUAAUGAACCGUGAGGCUUAACCUUACAACGCCGAAG